UACGAAGGGGGCUAGCGUUGCUCGGAAUCACUGGGCGUAAAGCGCACGAGGCGGACUCUUAAGUCGGUGGUGAAAUCCUGGAGCUCAACUCUGGACAGGCGGUGGAAACUACCAAGCUGGAGUACGGUAGGGGCAGAGGGAAUUUCCGGUGGAGCGGGUGAAAUGCGUAGAGAUCGGAAAGAACACCAACGGGCGAAAGCACUCUGCUGG
rnacentral:rRNA from 1 species